rnacentral:lncRNA from 1 species
GCAGACUGUACCAGCAGCGGUGAGGGAACUGCAGGGACCGGAGGGCUUCCGCCGCGGUGCCGGGGAAGGCGAAGUCUUUCGCGAUGAAUCCCCGGCAGCUUCGAUCGAGCGGUGAGCUGGAGCACCUACCCACAGGCCACUCCUCGAUGUGACUGCACGGAGGCCUUCGCCAGCGCUCGGAGAGGCGAGCAGAGCUGUGGAUUUACCUCCCGCGCACCCACGUCCCCCCAGCACGGGCACUGCCAGGGUGGGGACUCUUCUCACACUGUUACGGAUGCUUCAGGAGCCAGUUCAGCACCUGGGAAUGGCCAUGUCAUAUCAGCAACUGGAGCUUACUGACAGGAAGGGGAAUACACUGAGCGUCUGGUCAGCGAUACCGGCAUUUAGGAAGAACAAAUUAAUUUCUCACACGCCCUAGAGAGGUGGAGUUCUGUCAUGUUACAAACCUGACUCGUAGAUUCUGGGGAAAAUCCUAAAAGCUUUUGGUAAUAGAGGUUUUAGUGAGUUUAAUGCCGAUGGAAUUAAAAGUCUCUAGGCGCUCGUCGUGAAUGGAUUUACAUCAGG